UGGUGGAGUGAUUUGUCUGGUUAAUUCCGUUAACGAACGAGACCUCACCUGCUAAAUAGCUUGGCGAAUCCUAGAUUCGUACGAGACUUCUUAGAGGGACUAUCGCUGUGUAGGCGAUGGAAGUUCGAGGCAAUAACA
rnacentral:rRNA from 1 species